rnacentral:rRNA from 1 species
AGAGUUUGAUCCUGGCUCAGAAUGAACGUUGGCGGCGUGGAUUAGGCAUGCAAGUCGAGCGAGAUCAGUUCCCUCACCUUGUGCUUUCGGGUUCUGAGAGUGCGGGGUGAGGGGACUGUGACAGCGGCGAAAGGGAGAGUAACGCGUAGUUACGUGCCCCGAGGUCCGGAAUAGCCAGCCGAAAGGCUGGGUAAUGCUGGAUAAUGUCCCCGGACCAAAGGUGUGAUUCCGCCUCGGGAGCGGACUGCGUUGUACUAGCUAGUUGGUAGGGUAAUGGCCUACCAAGGCGAUGAUGCAUACCGGGCGUGAGAGCGUGGCCCGGCUCACUGGGACUGAGACACUGCCCAGACACCUACGGGUGGCUGCAGUCGAGAAUCUUCGGCAAUGAGCGCAAGCUUGACCGAGCGACGCCGCGUGCGGGAUGAAGGCCUUCGGGUUGUAAACCGCUUUCAGUGGGGAGGAAAUUGCUAGGGGUUCUCCCCUAGUAUUGACCUAUCUUCAGAAGAAGGACGGGCUAAGUUCGUGCCAGCAGCCGCGGUAAUACGAACCGUCCAAACGUUAUUCGGAUUCAUUGGGCUUAAAGGGUACGUAGGCGGCGCUAUCAGUCGGGUGUGAAAUCCCUCGGCUCAACCGAGGAACUGCGCCCGAUACUGUAGUGCUUGAGGGAGACGAGGUAAGCGGAACUGAUGGUGGAGCGGUGAAAUGCGUUGAUAUCAUCAGGAACACCGGUGGCGAAAGCGGCUUACUGGGUCUCUUCUGACGCUGAGGUACGAAAGCUAGGGGAGCGAACGGGAUUAGAUACCCCUGUAGUCC